UCGGCGUUAUCACUGGUGUAUCCGAUGUUGUUAAGUAUCAUAGCUCGAGUAGGAGCGAGCCUUCCACAAAGCGUUGUAUCAGUAUCAUGGACCUAAGGUAUGCCAUCUUGCCCUGUCAGGUGCUUGUUGUUUGUGUUGUUGUCUCUAUUAGCCUGCCAUUGCUUUCAGUAUAUUUUGUUUAUAUUUUGUGCAAUGGGUGCCAGUUACUGUUGUGCUCUGGGGCGAACGUGCUACAACCUUUCAGGGAGACUACAUUAUCGAGCUGGGCUCGAUUGAACCAGUGGUUGCACUAUUUGUUGGAACUCUGGUGAAGGCCUAUGAAGGUAAGAACUCUUGUUAGGUUGACUAGAUGGCUACUCUUUUGCCCAUGUCUGUUUAUGUGACGUGCUAUGUCUUUGGUUGCGGUCUGUAGGUCGAAGGGGUGUGAGAGGAAGUGUAGCGCAUCGGUGGUACAUAAAUGAUGACACUUCUGAGAUGAUAGACUUUGAUAAGAGGUACAUGCUAUCUGUUUAUCUCCGCACUAAUUAUGUGCUGUCCUUUGCCUGAUUUAAUCAUAUGCUUAUGUUCUUGAUCUUAUUGCUAAAGGCUCCAGGGCAAGUUCUCUCCUGUAGAAAAGAUUGUCCUCCAGGGACAGACAACAGCUAUGCAUUUGCCUUGACCGUAUUGAUAUACUGCUGCAUGUAUUUUUUCUAUGAACUUACCAUCCCUGAAGGAAAGAAGAGUAAUUCUUCCCCGGCCUCAGUCAACAAAAGGUAUGAGCUGUUCCAACAAAAAUGAUCCAAGAUGGCGUAAACAAACGAUUCUAGAUAUGUGAUGUGAAUUUGUUGGGUCUGUGACCUGUAGUGUCGAUAUAAAGAGAGUGCCAGCAAGUGGUCUACCUAAGUCUGUGUUGUGUAAACCCUUGUUUUCCGAUGGCCGUGCUUAGGUAUUUCCUUUCGUUUGCUUGGUGAAAAUACAUCCAAACCUAUUCACAUGGUUGUUUGAUGGUCAGUUGACAAGGAAUAUUUGUUUAUGCCUGCUAGGGGCUCGAAAAACUGGAUGAUGCUCUGCUGGUCUCGGUGGUGAGCUUGCUGCUACGUUGAGGUAUCUGGGUGUGGGUUGAUACGAGUGUUUAACAAUAUAUGCAUAAUUUUUCUACUUCUUGUACAUAAUUGUUAUUUGUUCUUGAAGCAAAUCAACUGAAAGCCUGACGGCGGAUGAAGACGAGACGUCCGUGACUAAAAGGGCUAAGUUGUAGUCCAAACGGCCCUAGGCGGAUCAUUAUUUUGGUGUGUCAGCUAGGUACCUUUUAUAUCGUCGGUCGCCUCCUAUGUUGUACACGAUUUGGCUCUUACUUGAACUUGUGUUAUUGCAGGACCACAAUGUGUUGGUUAGAUGUGCUCUCGCAUUGAUGGUCUAGCGAAUGGACGUCUCGACGUGUGUUAGAUGGUGAAGCUUCUUCCUAGGUCCAUCGUCCCUUUUGUCGUGCCGUAUUGCUUGCAAUGCGAUGUUACGUUACACAGACCCCAGGAAACUUUAAUGUGGUGCUUGUGAAAGACCAGCUGCUGUUGGUACUAUGAUCAGCAUUGGCCUUCUAUUUUGUGUGGUGUUUGUUUAGCUCUUGGUUGCUAACGAUGUAUGGUCAGUGCCAUGAGAUGGUGCUUCUGAUGGAUUAACUACUCUGUGGUUGAUGUAAGUUAUGAACCAGUUAAGCUGUGGCUCUAAUGUCGGUUUUCUAGUCCGUUUACUGUGUCGUAUCAUAUGUUUUAUUUCCUGUAUAUGUUGUGUGCUCUGUUCUGUCUUCGGACUUAU
rnacentral:lncRNA from 1 species